rnacentral:rRNA from 1 species
AAAUGAAUAGACGGGGACCCGCACAAGCAGCGGAGCAUGUGGUUUAAUUCGAAGCAACGCGAAGAACCUUACCAGGGCUUGACAUCCCCCUGACAGCCUCUUAACCGGGGCUUCCUUCGGGCAGGGGAGACAGGUGGUGCAUGGUUGUCGUCAGCUCGUGUCGUGAGAUGUUGGGUUAAGUCCCGCAACGAGCGCAACCCUUGUCAUUAGUUGCCAUCAUUCAGUUGGGCACUCUAAUGAGACUGCCGGGGAUAACUCGGAGGAAGGUGGGGAUGACGUCAAAUCAUCAUGCCCCUUAUGUUCUGGGCUACACACGUGCUACAAUGGCCGGCACAAAGAGCCGCGAUGCCGCGAGGCGGAGCAAAUCUCAAAAACCGGCCCCAGUUCGGAUUGCAGGCUGCAACCCGCCUGCAUGAAGCCGGAGUUGCUAGUAAUCGCAGAUCAGAAUGCUGCGGUGAAUGCGUUCCCGGGUCUUGUACACACCGCCCGU